rnacentral:lncRNA from 1 species
UAAGUAGAGGUUUGGGUUUAGUAAACCAUAUUAUAUUUUUUGUUCUAUUCUAUCUGGGUUUAGGGUUUAUACUUGGGUCUAGAGUAUAUACUUGAGUUUAGGGUUUAGUGAUUAGGAUUUAGGGUUUAGUGAUUAGCAUUUAGGGUUUAGUAUCGGAGAUUGAGGUUUGUGUUUAGUGAUAACAGUUUAGGGUUUAGUAUUCAAAAGUUAGGGUUUAAUAUAAAAUUAGUUUCAUUCAAAUGUUUGACAAUGUUAGGGUCAUGUCUAGUUCAAGAACGUCUUUUUCAUUUUUCAUCAAGAAGUAAUUUUAAUUAUUUCUUCUCGUACUAUUUUACAUAUGAUGCUCAACUAAUAUAAAUAGAAUAAACAUUUGUAUACUAUUUUAUACAAUGUCCAUAUUAUGUAUGUAUAGUACUUGAAAAUCUUAUAAAAGAUUAUAUAUUU